UCGUAACAAGGUUUCCGUAGGUGAACCUGCGGAAGGAUCAUUACAGAGUUCAUGCCCGAAAGGGUAGACCUCCCACCCUUGUGUAUUAUUACUUUGUUGCUUUGGCGAGCUGCCUUCGGGCCUUGUAUGCUCGCCAGAGAAUACCAAAACUCUUUUUAUUAAUGUCGUCUGAGUACUAUAUAAUAGUUAAAACUUUCAACAACGGAUCUCUUGGUUCUGGCAUCGAUGAAGAACGCAGCGAAAUGCGAUAAGUAAUGUGAAUUGCAGAAUUCAGUGAAUCAUCGAAUCUUUGAACGCACAUUGCGCCCCUUGGUAUUCCGGGGGGCAUGCCUGUUCGAGCGUCAUUUCAACCCUCAAGCUUAGCUUGGUAUUGAGUCUAUGUCAGUAAUGGCAGGCUCUAAAAUCAGUGGCGGCGCCGCUGGGUCCUGAACGUAGUAAUAUCUCUCGUUACAGGUUCUCGGUGUGCUUCUGCCAAAACCCAAAUUUUUCUAUGGUUGACCUCGGAUCAGGUAGGGAUACCCGCUGAACUUAAGCAUAUCAAUAA
rnacentral:misc_RNA from 1 species